AAAAUGCCAACGUGGUAGGUCCCAUGACUGGACGGACUGUCCAUACUCUCAUCCCGGUGAAAAAGCUCGCCGGAGAGACCCUCAAAAAUACAAUUAUUCCGGCAAUCCUUGCCCGGAGUUUCGCAAAUUAGGAAACUGCACCAAAGGUGAUUCUUGCCACUUCGCUCAUGGUGUUUUUGAAUGCUGGCUUCAUCCUUCUCGUUACAGAACUCAGCUUUGUAACGACGGAACCCUUUGCCGGAGACGAGUUUGUUUCUUUGCUCAUACCAUUGAUCAACUCCGUGUCUCAAAUAACGCUUCACCGGAAUCAUUUGUUUCAUCUCCUACCUCAGUUCUUGAUUCUUCUCCAAGAAAAUCUCGAUACGGUGUCCCACCGGUGAACGUGAGGGAAUUAGUUGGCUUCAUGAGGAGUGUUAGGGUUGAUGAAUGGAGUCCGGUGUCUAAGAUGGGUUCUGUGUUUGGUUCUCCACGACCACGAGGUGGUUUUUUGAGUCUUCCAUCAAACUAUGAAGGGGUUGGUAUGGAGAGGGUGGAAUCAGGAAGAGAUCUUAG
rnacentral:lncRNA from 1 species